UACGAAGGGGGCUAGCGUUGCUCGGAAUCACUGGGCGUAAAGGGUGCGUAGGCGGGUCUUUAAGUCAGGGGUGAAAUCCUGGAGCUCAACUCCAGAACUGCCUUUGAUACUGGCGGACUUGAGUCCGGGAGAGGUGAGUGGAACUGCGAGUGUAGAGGUGAAAUUCGUAGAUAUUCGCAAGAACACCAGUGGCGAAGGCGGCUCACUGGCCCGGUACUGACGCUGAGGUGCGAAAGCGUGGGGAGCAAACAG
rnacentral:rRNA from 1 species